GUCAAAUUUCCCCCAAUGUGAAAUGGUGACGAAUGGCAGUGCUCCAUCCUUGCAGGUGACACUAUGACUGUAUCCUUGGUUUCUGCUGCAAUGGAAUCAAGGUUAUUCAUUUUCUGAUUGCCCUUCAGAUGAUAAUGGAAAUGGACAUCAAUCAAGAGGGAAAGGCCGAGGAAGGUGAAUGUGAAAGCAUGGGAACAUCAAUCUUCUUUUAUUGAAAAAGAGCUCUAGCUGUUAUUUCCAAGCAAGCAUUUCCAUUUGGCCUUCAUCUACUUCAGUUCCAUCAACAGAGAUGGAGAUACUGCUCUGGCUUCC